rnacentral:misc_RNA from 1 species
GAUGAAGAACGCAGCGAAAUGCGAUACGUAAUGUGAAUUGCAGAAUUCAGUGAAUCAUCGAAUCUUUGAACGCAUAUUGCGCUCUCUGGUAUUCCGGAGAGCAUGCUUGUUUGAGUAUCAGUAAACACCUCAACUCCCUUUUCUUUUUUGAAAUGGGAGCUGGACUUGAGUGAUCCCAACGCUUUUCUCACCGAAAAGUGGCGGGUUACUUGAAAUGCAGGUGCAGCUGGACUUUUCUCUGAGCUAAAAGCAUAUCUAUUUAGUCUGCCUAAAAACAGAUUAUUACCUUUGCUGCAGCUAACAUAAAGGAGAUUAGUUCUUGUGCUGACUGAUGCAGGAUUCACAGAGACAGCUUCGGCUGGCCUUUGUAAACUCGAUCUCAAAUCAAGUAAGACUACCCGCUGAACUUAAGCAUAUCAAUAAGCGGAGGA